rnacentral:rRNA from 1 species
UACGUAGGGGGCGAGCGUUAUCCAGAUUUACUGGGCGUAAAGCGCGUGUAGGCGGCUGGUUAGGUGUGAUGUGAAAUCCUCGGGCUCAACCCGAGAACUGCAUUGCAAACCGGCCUGGCUAGAGUGCAGGAGAGGGAAGCGGAAUUCCAGGUGUAGCGGUGAAAUGCGUAGAUAUUCGCAAGAACACCAGUGGCGAAGGCGGCUCACUGGCCCGGUACUGACGCUGAGGUGCGAAAGCGUGGGGAGCAAACAGG